CCUCGGUAGCUCUGUGGUAGAGCUCCUAUAUGCGGUGAACGACAAUAACUGCAAGGAGGUCGCAGGUUCGAAUCCUGCCCGUUGGCUA
rnacentral:tRNA from 1 species